rnacentral:rRNA from 1 species
GUUGGGAACCAUAUUGCUGUAAAGCCACCAGAUCUCAUCUGAUCUUGAAAGCUAAGUACAGCCAGCCUGAAUUAGUACUUGGAUGAAAGACUGUCAAGAAAUGCCAGGUGCUUUGGGCA